rnacentral:rRNA from 1 species
GACGAACGCUGGCGGCGUGCUUAACACAUGCAAGUCGAACGGAAAGGCCCUGCUUUUGUGGGGUGCUCGAGUGGCGAACGGGUGAGUAACACGUGAGUAACCUGCCCUUGACUUUGGGAUAACUUCAGGAAACUGGGGCUAAUACCGGAUAGGAGCUCCUGCUGCAUGGUGGGGGUUGGAAAGUUUCGGCGGUUGGGGAUGGACUCGCGGCUUAUCAGCUUGUUGGUGGGGUAGUGGCUUACCAAGGCUUUGACGGGUAGCCGGCCUGAGAGGGUGACCGGCCACAUUGGGACUGAGAUACGGCCCAGACGCCUACGGGAGGCAGCAGUGGGGAAUCUUGCACAAUGGGCGGAAGCCUGAUGCAGCAACGCCGCGUGCGGGAUGACGGCCUUCGGGUUGUAAACCGCUUUCGCCUGUGACGAAGCGUGAGUGACGGUAAUGGGUAAAGAAGCACCGGCUAACUACGUG